AGGGGUGUAGCUAAUUGGUCUAGCGUUCGACUCAUAAUCGAAGGUAAGCAGGUUCGAUUCCUGUCGCCCCUA
rnacentral:tRNA from 1 species